rnacentral:piRNA from 1 species
UCCAAGCUGUUGCCCCUUGCCUGGUGCUGGU